GUAGGUGGCAAGCGUUGUCCGGAAUUAUUGGGCGUAAAGCGCGCGCAGGCGGUUCUUUAAGUCUGAUGUGAAAGCCCACGGCUCAACCGUGGAGGGUCAUUGGAAACUGGAGAACUUGAGUACAGAAGAGGGAAAGCGGAAUUCCACGUGUAGCGGUGAAAUGCGUAGAGAUGUGGAGGAACACCAGUGGCGAAGGCGGCUUUCUGGUCUGUAACUGACGCUGAGGCGCGAAAGCGUGGGGAGCAAACAGGGAUUAGAUACCCUGGUAGUCCACGCCGUAAACGAUGAGUGCUAAGUGUUAGGGGGGUUUCCGCCCCCUUAGUGCUGCAGCUAACGCAUUAAGCACUCCGCCUGGGGAUACGGCCGCAAGGCUG
rnacentral:rRNA from 1 species